GCUCCUGUGGCGCAAUCGGUUAGCGCGCGGUACUUAUACAGCAGUACUUGGGGAAGAUAUGCUGAGGUUGUGAGUUCAAGCCUCACCAGGAGCA
rnacentral:tRNA from 1 species